GAGGAGCUACCCAUUGUUGUGCUGCCAUGGCCUAUGACCAGGAAAAGAUAAUUACGGUAAGUAUGAAUACAUUUUUCUCUUUCCUAUCUAAUAAAUAUUAUCCAUGCAUGCAGUUAUAGGACACACUUUUAUCACACACAUAUAUUUAGAAGUUUUGGUACCUAAUUACAAAUCUAUAUUUAAGAUUUUCAGAAUGAGUGAUAUGUCAUGUGUUUUUUGGUCAUUUAUGGCUAUAAACCUUGAAAGAAAGACCGUCAGUUCACCAUGCAUUUAGUUAUUUGCCACAUUGUCUGGAAUAAGGCUCAUAUGAAUAACCUUAUCUAUAUGUCCAACAACUAAUAUAAAUAUGUAUGUGCACGUGUCCGCAGAAUUUUAAUUAACAAUUCCAUUAAAAUCAUUCAUAAGACUAGAGCCACAUCUGGUGAGGAAACUGUGGCAAAAGUUAAUUAAUCAAUUAUAGAUUCUUCAUUAUCAUAUGUUACACCCACUAAAUCUGAUUAGAGAAUGUUAAAUCCAUAGGUGUGAGUUACCUGUGAAAAGGAAACAAAUAUAACACUAUAGAGAAUAGAGGAAAGGACACUCUUGAUUGACCACUAAAUCACUCACUAUUAAAUUAGCUCUAUCUUUUAAAUUCACUCUAUUGAAUUUAUUUCACCAUAUCUAUUAAACUUUAUUAUUCUUACUCACUAUUCUUCUGACAAACCUGAACCUACAGCAGGUUGUCUAACCAUUUUCCAUAUAACUAUUCUAUUCAAAACUAAAUUCCUUAUCCAUUGAGAAAACAGAAAACCAGCAACUUUGAGGUAAUUAUAACCUAUAUUAUUUUUAUAGCUUACAUAGGUAUGAAAUGUAUCUGAGUCAACAUUUGGAAUAAUUUGGGGGAGACUAUUCUUUGUAUAUUUAAAAUCUGUGUCUGCAGCUCAGGUUGAAAAUAUGCAAUGAUUCUUAGUUGUUAGUUCUUAGUUAUAAAACCUUUAAUUAUUGUUACAUUCAUUUGUUGAAUUCAGAUAUUAAUCAAAACCUAUUAUCUUGUAUAUAUACCUGUAGAUUUGCUUAGUGCAGAUAGAGAGGUUACUUAAAAUUGUCUAAAAGCAAAAUUUGUAUUACCAUGUUUUUAAUAUAUUUGCAUAUUGUCAGUUUGCAAUUCCAAACUGAGAAAAUGUAAUUGCUGAGUGGAUUAGGGAUUGUAAAAAUGUAAUUUGGUUUGCAACCAUUUGUGGAAAUAGUUUUUUUUUUUUUGUUUUUUUUUUUCAGCCAGUGUCUAUGCUUCUUUAAUACAGUAGAUAUUUUAAUGUGAUACCCUGUCAUAUUAUAGUCAAAAAUAUUAAAUGUCAAUGCAGAUGUUAUGUUGAGUUAUUGCAUUUGUUGGUAUUAAAUUCCUUGAGCCAGUUACUACAUUGCUCAUUAUCUG